rnacentral:rRNA from 1 species
CCUGGUGACCAUAGCGAGUUGGAACCACCCCUUCCCAUCCCGAACAGGUCCGUGAAACAACUCCGCGCCGAUGAUAGUGCGGAUUACCCGUGUGAAAGUAGGUCAUCGCCAGGC